UAAUUACAUCAUGUUUGCAGCGUUGGUUCGACAGGAAAAGUUAAUCGUACUCGCACAUAUCUUUGGCAAAGAAUCCUUGCAAGCUCACCAAAACCACGAUUUGAAAUCCCCCGAAUGGCGCACGAUACGGACCGCCAGCAAGGACGGAACGUUUUCGUGAAAUGACGUUCGUCCUCAAAAUGCCCCCAAGUCCUGGCCGAAGGACCAGUUCAUGGUUCAGAAGUGAAUAUCCAACGUAUCAGAGCGGUAAGGGGCCAAGCCGAGGGACAUUCCAGUGGACGGAGGUUAGGUCCUCGAGCCGGAUCCAACACAAAUCAGCCCUUUUCGUAAUUGACAAAGGAAUACGAGACUACGGCAAGGAUCGCUAAGCGAACCUGGAAUAAAGCCAACAAACAACAACAACUACAACAAUAUUAACAAAAAAGAAGUCAAACCUUGAGCACGAACCGUUUAAUACCACUGUUCUCCAUAAUCUUCGAGUGCAGUUUGUCAAUAUGUGACAAGAGCUAUGAAAAUACUACAAAAUAAAAGAAAUCAUCUUAAACGAUCCUCGACACGACUCUUCCUAUUCUGCGAAUCAAGGGUUCUGCUUUCGGGUGUGAAAAUAAUUAAAUACCAUCGUGUCGCGACUGUCAUUUAAUUGUCUACAGUUUGGCGAACGAAAAGAAGUGACAUAACACUGGAAAGCGAGCCAAUGAUAAAAAUCUUCACACACGGUUUCACUUGGUACAGAUGCUUUCGUGCUAGUGGCAAACAAAAGAAUAUCACUCCAUCGAGAGCAGCAUUGGCGUGGCAAAGGUGAACUGGGUGGCUAGGUGAACCAUUACUCUUCGAAAGGCGCGACUACACACCGUUAGAACACACAGCCGUA